UACGGGGGGAGCAAGCGUUGUUCGGAUUUACUGGGCGUAAAGGGCGCGUAGGCGGCCACCGCAAGUCGACUGUGAAAUCUCCGGGCUUAACCCGGAAAGGUCAGCCGAUACUGCGGGGCUAGAGUGCAGAAGGGGCAACUGGAAUUCUCGGUGUAGCGGUGAAAUGCGCAGAUAUCAGGAGGAACACCGGUGGCGAAGGCGGGUCUCUGGGCCGUAACUGACGCUGAGGAGCGAAAGCAUGGGGAGCGAACAGG
rnacentral:rRNA from 1 species